GUGGUAAUGCCGGAUGCUCCAUCACACCGCAUGGUGUGUUGGGAAAGCCUUUGCGGCAUGGGAUGGGGUCGCGUCCUAUCAGCUUGAUGGCGGGGUAACGGCCCACCAUGGCUUCGACGGGUAGCCGGCCUGAGAGGGCGACCGGCCACAUUGGGACUGAGAUACGGCCCAGACUCCUACGGGAGGCAGCAGUGGGGAAUAUUGCACAAUGGGCGCAAGCCUGAUGCAGCGACGCCGCGUGAGGGAUGGAGGCCUUCGGGUUGUAAACCUCUUUUGUUAGGGAGCAAGGCAUUUUGUGUUGAGUGUACCUUUCGAAUAAGCACCGGCUAACUACGUGCCAGCAGCCGCGGUAAUACGUAGGGUGCAAGCGUUAUCCGGAAUUAUUGGGCGUAAAGGGCUCGUAGGCGGUUCGUCGCGUCCGGUGUGAAAGUCCAUCGCUUAACGGUGGAUCCGCGCCGGGUACGGGCGGGCUUGAGUGCGGUAGGGGAGACUGGAAUUCCCGGUGUAACGGUGGAAUGUGUAGAUAUCG
rnacentral:rRNA from 1 species